rnacentral:rRNA from 1 species
CUGCCCGGUAGCUAAAUGCGGAAGAGAUAAGUGCUGAAAGCAUCUAAGCACGAAACUUGCCCCGAGAUGAGUUCUCCCUGAGACUUUAGGUCUCCUGAAGGAACGUUGAAGACGACGACGUUGAUAGGUCGGGUGUGUAAGCGUAGCGAUACGUUGAGCUAACCGAUACUAAUGAACCGUGAGGCUUAACCUU